rnacentral:rRNA from 1 species
UACGAGGGGGGCGAGCGUUGUUCGGAAUUAUUGGGCGUAAAGGGCGCGUAGGCGGUUGGAUAAGUCUGGUGUGAAAUCUUCGGGCUCAACUCGAAGUCUGCACGAGAAACUAUCUGGCUUGAGUGUGGGAGAGGUGAGUGGAAUUCCUGGUGUAGCGGUGAAAUGCGUAGAUAUCAGGAGGAACACCUGUGGCGAAAGCGGCUCACUGGACCACAACUGACGCUGAGGCGCGAAAGCUAGGGGAGCAAACAGG